GAUGAACGCUAGCUACAGGCUUAACACAUGCAAGUCGAGGGGCAGCAUGAGAGUAGCUUGCUACUCUUGAUGGCGACCGGCGCACGGGUGCGUAACGCGUAUCCAACCUGCCGUGUACUCCGGGAUAGCCCUCUGAAAGGAGGAUUAAUACCCGAUGUUUUGGCGAUGCCGCAUGACAUUGUCAACAAAGAUUUAUCGGUACAGGAUGGCGAUGCGUCCCAUUAGCUAGUUGGCGGGGUAACGGCCCACCAAGGCAUCGAUGGGUAGGGGUUCUGAGAGGAAGGUCCCCCACACUGGAACUGAGACACGGUCCAGACUCC
rnacentral:rRNA from 1 species